rnacentral:tRNA from 1 species
GGGCGAUUAGCUCAGCUGGUUAGAGCAUCUGCUCGACAUGUAGAGGGUCGGGAGUUCGAAUCUCUCAUCGCCCACAA